CUUCCUCCAGAUCAUCUUUACAAUUAACCAGAAGUCAGAAUUCCAAGUCUUAUUGAGAAAUAUUUCACUUGCUGUUGCAUUGUACUGGCUCCUUCCCUGAAUCUCCCUACUGUACUCUACAUCUGAUGAAACAUUUAUUUGAACAAACAAAAUACAUAUGUACAAAUAAAUACAAAUGUCAGGAGCUGACACCCAAAUGCAAACACAUGUCUUUACCCAUACCCACCAUUUGACAGCAUGACAGGCUAAAGAGCAUUUUGAAUGGAAACUACACAGAAAGCUCUGAAACAAAGGACCAGACAAAAAUGCUAUAAUCAAUUUAACGUCUUCAGGAAAUACGCUUUUCUCUAAAAGUGUGAUGACUCAUAGUGGCAGGACAGGUAACAAAGGUAACAAAAGAAUGGAUGUCUGGAAGCCAUGAAUGGCUAGAUAGACGCUGAAAAUGACAGCCCUUCAGCCUUAUCACCUGACCCAGCCCCAUGAUUGUGGAAGAAUUAAGGGCAAGUCUCUGAAUGUCCUGCACCUGGAUGCCAGGAAACCAAUCAUCGCCCAACCACUUUGUUGGGCCAUUAACAGAGGCUUGAACUCUAUCUUUGUCCAAAUGAAAGCACAAAGAAAAUAAUUUUUCAUCUGAAGAAUCAUCUUAAGAUCCCCAAAUGGAAAGUAAGGGGAGCAGUAAACCUCUUAAACUCCAGUUUGGCGGCUUGAACAUAGGGCAUUAAGGUAAGAAGGUUAUUUAUGGCAUAAGGGGAAGGGAGAGAGAAUUCCAAAGUGAGAGAUGGAAGGACAAAGAGGAUCCGGGCCCAGACUGCAUCAUCCCCUACACCAUUCAAACACGAAGGGUAACAAUUUUAGUCAGGAACUGGGAGCCACAGAUUUCAAAGGCAAAACCUCCCUUUUUAAAAAUUUAUUUAAAUUCAAGUUAGUUAACAUACAGUGUAGUAUUAGUUUCAGGAAUAGAAUUCAGUGAUUCAUCACUUAACAUAAUAACACCCAGUGCUCAUCCCAACAAGUGUCCUCCUUAAUACCCAUCACCCAUUUAGCCCAUCCUCCCCAGCCACAGCCCCUCCAGCAACCCUCAGUUUUGUUCUCUGUAUUUAAGAGUCCUUUAUGUAAAACCUCACUCCAUCACCCAGAUAAUUCAGGCGGAGUGUAUUCAUCCCCCUCAAAAAGAUGAUUGCCUCGAAAUGUCUCUUAAAGUUCCAUGCAAGCAGAUGGCUGCAGGAUAUUUUCUCUGGGGCUAUCUGAAGGCCCCACCUUUCAGCUCACCGGGUCCUCCACCCUUCAUCAGUGUCCAGCCUUUUCUCUACUACUUGGGACCACAAUGCUCCCCUGGGGCUCCAGUUGUAGAGGAUUUGACUUUCUGCCAGGCAGCCUGGAAUUGGGGAAUCACUUUGCAGACGGAUCCCCAUCCCCAUUUUUAUUUGACUUCCCUUCCCUCAGGUUGGAAGCAGAGAGUAGAGCAAGGAAAAAAAGUUCUGUGUUCUCUUUAAGAGCACUGUUCUUCCUGGUUCCCUCUUUAAAGGGGGAACAGGUGAGUCUUGAUGGGAUUAUUUUGAGUUUCCAGGGCUCCCCUCUAGAAUUAAUUCCCCCCCAAGGAGGGAAGGACUCUUUGCCUGCACCCUGGCAGGAAUCCUGAUCUUUCCAAUUCACAGGUAAGCCGACACUUUUGCUGAACGAAGAUCUCCUAGAUCCCAACUGGGGGAGGAAGCCUGACUGCUUCUGAGGCAAAUCAUGGCCAUAAUCAUUUUCAAAGGUAUCAUUUUCACCUGGGAAGGGACUUGAGGAAGCAGCACCGCAGGUCAUGAAUAUUUAUGAGGGAGCCAAGAAAGCUUUUUCUUUCCUGCUGUGGUGGGAAGGGGAGCUGAAAGCUGCACCACAGCAACAAGACUGGGUCCCUGGUGUUCCCUCCCCCAGUGAGCAACCAGAGGGAGUGACUGGGGUGUCAUGGUGUUGUCAGGGACAGACUGCCUGCCAGUCGUACCAAAUUAGGAAGAGGACUGACUGAGGAUUCCUGGCCAAGCUGCAUCACCGACGCUCAGCAAAAUCAGUGGAAGUGUGUGUAAUCCCGUAUAGACUUAAGAUGGUGUGAACCCAUAUGUAGUAGGAAGAGGAAUGAGAUAUUUGUACUCACAUAAUCACGUGAGCUGAUCAGUGGGAGAGGUAAGGGGAAGGAGUGGCUACUGGAACCUGAAAGGAAGUAAUUGUGUGAAGAGUACCUCAGGUGACAAGAGAUACAGUGGACAGAAAAAAUGAGUAGGCAGAGCUCUAGGAGGAAAACCAAACAUCACUAAAGCCAAAGACUUGGUCACCAAUGUAAAUUGACGGCAUUUGGAUUGAAUCUUCAGGUUUCAAGUUUCUUCAGGUUGCUGAACAUAGUGUACACAUCCACAAAGGUUGAGACCCUGGCAAGAACACUAAGGAAAAAACAAAAAUUUCAAUCAGCAGGACCUUAUGGGGUAUUCUAAAACAGUAACACAAAAUAACAAUGUCCAAAAGUCAGUAAAGAUGAACUAACAGAGAUAAAAAACCAAAACAAAAAUCCCAAAUGCUACAUCUUUAACUACUGUUUUUCCCUCAGUGUGUUUUACCAGGUCCUGUUCUUCCACCUAACUCUAUAUGUUAUUUGUAUGGUCUCUACUGUUAGUUCCCUCUUCUCACCCUACUACACUUCACUGGCAAAGACCUCACCUCCCACCAUAGCAACACCCUCCCCCCCCCCCCCCCCGCCCCUGCCACGCACAUGCAAACAUACACUUUCUAUUCCUGGCAGUCCUCCAAACAUGACUCGUAGUUUCAUGGUUUCUUUGCAGAUACUGUUCCCUCCAUCAGGAAUACACUUUCCCCAAUCUAUCUACCUGAUGAUACAGAUGGUCCUUCUACACUAAACUGACACAUCUCCUUUUCUGUGAAGAGCAUCUUCUGGUUAUAUAACUAAUGUUGUAUAAGAAGCUGUACUUCAGGGAAGUAUUUAUAGAAUGUUUUUUUUUUUUAAUGUUUGUUUAUUCAUUUUGAGAGAGGCAGCACACGAGUGAGUGGGGGAGGAGCAGGGAGAGAAAAAGAGAGAAUCCCAAGCUGGCUCCAUGCUGUCAGCACAGAGCGCAGUGUGGGGCCCGAUCCCGGGUACUGUGAGAUCAUGACCUGAGCCAAAAACAAACACUGGAUGCUCAACCCACUGUACCACCCAGGUGGCCCCAGAAUAGUUUUUUUAAGUAUAUAAUUUUAAGUCACUGUUGCAUUUGCGGAGAGGAAAAGAUAAAAAAAACAGCAUGUUUUUUAUACAUUUAAUAAAGUGUAUGUUUAGAAGAUUUUAUUUUAAUUUUUUGAUGUUUUUAUUUAUUUUUGAGAGAGAGAGAGGGAGCACAAGUCGGGGGAGGGCACAGGGAGAAGAGGACCGAGGAUCGAAGCAGACUCUGUGCUGACAGCAGCAAGCCUGAUGUGGGGUUUGAACUCACAAACUGUGAGAUCAUGACCUGAGCCGAAGUCAGUCACUCAGCUGACUGAGCCAC